CAGUAGCCGCGGGAAAACAGAGGGUGCAAGCGUUAAUCGGAAUUACUGGGCGUAAAGCGCGCGUAGGUGGUUUGUUAAGUUGGAUGUGAAAGCCCCGGGCUCAACCUGGGAACUGCAUCCAAAACUGGCAAGCUAGAGUACGGUAGAGGGUGGUGGAAUUUCCUGUGUAGCGGUGAAAUGCGUAGAUAUAGGAAGGAACACCAGUGGCGAAGGCGACCACCUGGACUGAUACUGACACUGAGGUGCGAAAGCGUGGGGAGCAAACAGGAUUAGAUACCCCCGUAGUCCCUGUCUCUUAUAC
rnacentral:rRNA from 1 species